UACGGGGGGGAGCAAGCGUUGUUCGGAUUUACUGGGCGUAAAGGGCGCGUAGGCGGUCCGAUAAGUCGGCUGUGAAAGUCAGGGGCUCAACCCUUGAAAGCCGGCCGAUACUGUCGGACUAGAGUCCGGAAGAGGCAAGUGGAAUUCCCGGUGUAGCGGUGAAAUGCGCAGAUAUCGGGAGGAACACCAAUGGCGAAGGCAGCUUGCUGGGACGGUACUGACGCUGAGGCGCGAAAGCGUGGGGAGCAAACAGG
rnacentral:rRNA from 1 species